UAAAAAGCAGUGUUGACUACACUUCUAAAACGACUGAUAUCCCAACAAAAAUCUCUUCGAGAAAAGUGUGACGCAUUCUCAGAAAUACAAUUUCUAAAAUGAAUGAUAUCGCUAGAGUUGACGCUUUCAGCUUCGUUACGCAAAAGUUAAAUUGUACACCCAAUUAGUUCAAACAAGCUGGCUUAGGUUUCCUCAUUAUCUGCCAAAUAACUUUUACCAAAAAAAAUUGACUGAAAACAACAAAAAAUUUACAAAGAAAUCUGCGUCGCAUGUGGCAGAUAAAUUUUCUUCUGUUCCUCAACAACUGCCA